GGUCGAUUGGCGCAGUGGUAGCGUGUUCCCCAAGAUAGUCCUCCGAUGGAUUGUCCGGACCCUCACAUGUGUGACGAUAUCAGGCAGGCUCUAUUCAACAGAAUCCUGUUGAGGAUUGACAACCCUCAGCUCAGAAGCACUUGUGUGAUCCAACGGACGGUGGAAGGGAAAGGUCUCAGGUUCAAACCCUGAAUUGGCCA